UAGGGAAUAUUGCACAAUGGGGGAAACCCUGAUGCAGCGACGCCGCGUGAGUGAAGAAGUAUUUCGGUAUGUAAAGCUCUAUCAGCAGGGAAGAUAAUGACGGUACCUGACUAAGAAGCCCCGGCUAACUACGUGCCAGCAGCCGCGGUAAUACGUAGGGGGCAAGCGUUAUCCGGAUUUACUGGGUGUAAAGGGAGCGUAGACGGCAUGGCAAGUCUGAAGUGAAAACCCCAGGGCUCAACCCUGGGACUGCUUUGGAAACUGUGUAUCUAGAGUGCCGGAGAGGUAAGCGGAAUUCCCAGUGUAGCGGUGAAAUGCGUAGAUAUUGGGAGGAACACCAGUGGCGAAGGCGGCUUACUGGACGGUAACUGACGUUGAGGCUCGAAAGCGUGGGGAGCAAACAGGAUUAGAUACCC
rnacentral:rRNA from 1 species